GACGAACGCUGGCGGCGUGCCUAAUACAUGCAAGUCGAACGCAGUGGGGACGGGUAAGUAACCCGUGGGUAACCUCCCAUCAGAGGGGAUAACACUUGGAAAAAGUUGCUAAACCGAUACUGACGGGUGGACGCGCGGUGCAUUAGCUAGUUGGUGAGGUAACGGCUCGCCAAGGCGACGAUGCAGAGCCGACCGGGGAGGGUGAUCGGCCACACUGGGACUGGGCCACGGCCCAGACUCCUACGGGAGGACGCAGUAGGGAAUCUGCGGCAAUGGACGAAAGUCUGACCGAGCAACGCCGCGUGAGUGAAGAAGGUUUUCGGAUCGGAAAACUCUGUUGUUAGAGAAGCGGUAUCUAACCAGAAAGCCACGGCUAACUACGUGUCAGCAGCCGCGGUAAUUC
rnacentral:rRNA from 1 species